rnacentral:rRNA from 1 species
GACGGACGCUGGCGGCGUGCUUAACACAUGCAAGUCGAACGGAAAGGCCUCUUUCGGGGGGUACUCGAGUGGCGAACGGGUGAGUAACACGUGAGUAACCUGCCCUUGACUUUGGGAUAACUUCAGGAAACUGGGGCUAAUACCGGAUAGGAGCUCCUGCUGCAUGGUGGGGGUUGGAAAGUUUCGGCGGUUGGGGAUGGACUCGCGGCUUAUCAGCUUGUUGGUGGGGUAGUGGCUUACCAAGGCUUUGACGGGUAGCCGGCCUGAGAGGGUGACCGGCCACAUUGGGACUGAGAUACGGCCCAGACUCCUACGGGAGGCAGCAGUGGGGAAUAUUGCACAAUGGGUGGAAGCCCGAUGCAGCAACGCCGUGUGCGGGAUGACGGCCUUCGGGUUGUAAACCGCUUUCGCUCAUGACGAAGCUUUGUGUGACGGUAGUGGGUAAAGAAGCACCGGCUAACUACGUG